GGCAUUGCCUGAGAUUGGGUUCCUCCUCUUAGUGGUGGUGGCGCUCCAACAUGUGUAGAAAUAGGGAAUGGAUACCCAUUAUUCUGUAAUAUUGCCAAGUAUGGAGCAUCAUUUGCAGGCAAAUUUGGGUAGUUAAAGCUCACAACUGGUGGCAACGAGGAAGAGUUUACAGGAGCUCCAGCAGCUGAAUUACUAGACAAUGAUGUUUUGGCACUAGAGGUGGCAGAUUUUGCAGGUCCAGAUGGAUUAGAAGUAGCUGCUACCGCUGCUUGAUGCUGGCUCAGAGGGAUUAUGAAGGCAGGGGCAUGCCACAACAUCAAACGUUGAGAAAAAUGAGCUUUCAAAACACUACCAACAGAAGUAACUCAACAAUUGAAGACAAAAAUGCAAUACAGGAGAAGACCGUACCAGCAAAUUACCAGGCUGCACAGGUUGUGGGGCUUGGUGAAUCACAAGCUGUUUUUUUUGUGCUGCAUCCAUGAAGUUCGUGGCCUCUGGGCUUUUCUCUUUUCCAGUAUGACGUGGAAAAGUACCCUGCCCUUUGCCCUGU
rnacentral:lncRNA from 1 species